rnacentral:tmRNA from 1 species
GGGGGCGACAGGUUUCGACGGCGUGUUGGAGGGUCUGGAGGAGCAGGUCGAGUUACGUCCGUAGUUCUCGUUAAACACUCGGGCAAGACGAUAAACGUCGAAGAUAAUUACGCUUUAGCGGCCUAAGCCGCUACGUCGAGGGAUGCGGCUCGUCUACUGGCUCUCCUAAGGCGUCACUUUAGGUGGAUGCUCCGCUCGUUCUUGGUUCCGCGCGGGUGGAAAAGACAAGGAACCUUGGAAUGUGGAAGGCCGUUUUCCGCCUCCCCACGGACGACAAUCAAAGGAAGACUAAACCUGUAGCGCCGCCACGGCUGGCCCACGUCGGACGGGGGUUCGAUUCCCCCCGCCUCCACCA